UCCCAGACUCCUACGGGAGGCAGCAGCGGGGGAUAUUGCACAAUGGGGGGAACCCUGAUGUAGCGACGCCGCGUGGGUGAAGAAGUAUUUCGGUAUGUAAAGCCCUAUCGGCAGGGAAGAAAUUGGACGGUACCUGACUAAGAAGCCCCGGCUAACUACGUGCCAGCAGCCGCGGUAAUACGUAGGGGGCAAGCGUUAUCCGGAUUCACUGGGUGUAAAGGGAGCGUAGACGGCCAUGCAAGCCUGGAGUGAAAGGCGGGGGCUCAACCCCCGGACUGCUCUGGAAACUGUACGGCUGGAGUGCAGGAGAGGUAAGUGGAAUUCCUAGUGUAGCGGUGAAAUGCGUAGAUAUUAGGAGGAACACCAGUGGCGAAGGCGGCUUACUGGACUGUAACUGACGUUGAGGCUCGAAAGCGUGGGGAGCAAACAGGAUUAGAUACCCGGGUA
rnacentral:rRNA from 1 species